rnacentral:rRNA from 1 species
GACGGGGGGGGCAAGUGUUCUUCGGAAUGACUGGGCGUAAAGGGCACGUAGGCGGUGAAUCGGGUUGAAAGUGAAAGUCGCCAAAAAGUGGCGGAAUGCUCUCGAAACCAAUUCACUUGAGUGAGACAGAGGAGAGUGGAAUUUCGUGUGUAGGGGUGAAAUUCGUAGAUAUUCGGAAGAACACCAGUGGCGAAGGCGACUCGCUGGACAAGUAUUGACGCUGAGGUGCGAAAGCGUGGGGAGCAAACAGG